rfam:Methylomicrobium album BG8 chromosome, whole genome shotgun sequence.
AAGAGCCGUAUGAAUCGAGAGGUUCACGUACGGUUCCUUGAGCAGCUGAAGGGGGAGGUUCCCUUCGGCUGACUCGAC